UACAGAGGUCUCAAGCGUUGUUCGGAUUCAUUGGGCGUAAAGGGUGUGUAGGUGGCGCGCUAAGUCGGGUGUGAAAUUUCGGAGCUUAACUCCGAAACUGCAUUCGAUACUGGCGUGCUUGAGGACUGGAGAGGAGACUGGAAUUCAUGGUGUAGCAGUGAAAUGCGUAGAGAUCAUGAGGAAGACCAGUGGCGAAGGCGGGUCUCUGGACAGUUCCUGACACUGAGACACGAAGGUCAGGGGAGCAAACGGG
rnacentral:rRNA from 1 species